UAUUAGAGACUAGGCUUGGGUAACAACUCACGUUCCUGGAGUUGGUGUGUCAGGUCAACACCCCAAAUUCCCAUCAAGUUUGGUCCUGUGGCGGUAGGAAUUCGCUGUCAGGUUUGGGUUGAGUCAUCAUCACAAUGAUUCUAGAUCCAAGAGCUGUGGCAUUUUUGAGCCCUAGAAUCAGAAGCAAGUGUGAACUGGUAUUUGUGAGGUUUUCCAACUAGAAACAGAGGCCAAGGUGGGUAAGUAGUAGGGGGGCCUGAUGAGAGACACGCCAGGGAAAAUGGCAGAUACAGCAUGGAGCUGUCCUAUCAAGGUGACAGAGAAGCCCCGAAAGAGGAGUCAGAAGGAGGUGCAAGACCAGAGCAGCAUCCCUCAUGUAGGUGGGGCAGCAGAGGGUUCCACAAGAUCUGGGUUCAACCAAGAGUUUAACAGCCAAAGUGAACUGCUCAUUCUGUCUGGGCCCCAUGGCCACCUUGCCUUCUGCCUGAGCCGGUCUCUCUCUCUGGAUGAUCUCCCUGGUGUACCUGAGCUCUCCAUUUCCACACUUCCUGGUCCUACCUGGCCUUCAAGGUACACGUGCUUCCUAAUCUCCAGAAAUAGUGCUUCUCCUGG
rnacentral:lncRNA from 1 species